GAUAGAUAGAAAGUUAGAUAGACAGUACGUCUAGAAAAAGUUUAAUGAAGAUAGCAACAAUUAUUUCUAGUUAUUUUCUUCCAAGUGUGUAUGCACGUCUUAAAUAAAGCUUUCAGCGCUUUCUGUGUUAUCUUUAAUUUAAACUUUAAUUUAAUCAAUAGAGUUUACAGCUGCUAGUGACUGUAAUAAAUGUAUGUAUGCUAUGUAUUUUAGACUAGAUUACAUUUCAGUAUAUAAAUUAGUUUCAAUAGACUGAGCGCACUCAUCAACACAUUUUGUUUAUCCAGCUUUAGUAAGCAUACUUAUAUUAUGGAUGGAUUUCAGUUUCUAGAAGUUGUGCAAGGGCCAUGUUUCCAGCUAUUUGUCUGUAUAGCAGUGAUGAGAAUUUAUUCAAUGGUGAAUGAACUAAAAGAGAAAAUUAUCGGCCUUGAAUCUAAAAUUGGUAAGUCUUAAGUUAAACUACGAUCUAUGCAACCAUGGGCGUAGCCAUGAUUUUUUCGGUGGGGAUACGGGAGGUAAAUUUCUUUCCUUCGCACACACACACUCAUACGCACAUACAUCCAUACAUACUGUUAUAAACCUGGUGGUGGCACAGACGGUCGUAGGCUGUGUGUGUUAUUAGCCUACGUAAAUUGCCCAGGUCCAGAGCUAGACGAGCGGUCAACCGUGACGAGUGACAGUACACGCCAUUUCGGCAAGGGCCUGUGUGUAAAUAUUUCGCACACAAGUUACGGCGAAUUUAAUCAACCUGAUUGGUCAAACAACGUUCCAUCCUGUUCGAGAAGGCCAGUAGAGACCCUAUAUAAGAGCGACUUUGUCAGAAUAAAGACUUCACGUUACCUCGAAAUGUGACCAGUGCGAUGCGAAGUGAGAAACAGCACGGUGUGCGAAGUCAGUCCGGAGAGACACUAGGUUUUUGGACAGUUAGUGUAAUGUUGUUGCCAACUGUGCAGUAUUUGUGAUGUAUUUGAAAUUAAAUUGCUAUUGCUUUGAGUCCCGAGUUGUGAGGUUCUUUAAGUUCGUUGUGUCGAGUGGUGCAGUUUGCCUGGAUAAUGGAGAACGUAACAAUACAUACAAACAUACAUACAUACAUACAUACAUACAUACAUACAUACAUACAUACAUACAUACAUACGUACGU
rnacentral:sRNA from 1 species